rnacentral:rRNA from 1 species
AGGAUAAACGCUGGCGGCGUGCCUAACACAUGCAAGUCGAACGCGCUUUCGGGCUUCGGUGCGAGAGCGAGUGGCGGACGGGUGAGUAACACAUGGGUACCUGCCUUUCAGUGAGGGAUACCGGCGAGAAAUCGCCGACAAUACCGCAUGGGCUUGUGGGAACACAAGCAAAGUGGCGCAAGCCACGCUGGAAGAUGGGCCUGUGGCCGAUUAGCUAGUUGGGGGGUAACGGCCUCCCAAGGCGACGAUCGGUAGCUGGUCUGAGAGGACGAUCAGCCACACUGGGAUUGAGAACGGCCCAGACUCCUACGGGGGGCAGCAGUGAGGAAUUUUCCGCAAUGGACGAAAGUCUGACGGAGCAACGCCGCGUGCAGGAGGAAGGUUUUCGGAUCGUAAACUGCUUUUCUCGGGGACGAGCAAGGACGGUACCCGAGGAAGAAGCCCCGGCUAACUACGUGCCAGCAGCCGC